CAACUGGACCUGCCUGCCCGACUCCAACGAUGUUGUCCAGGCCAGGAAGGUCUAUGAUCUGCGUAGUGAUGCUGUGUACAAGGCUGACUUGGAGUGGCUCAGGGGAUGUGGAUGGAUUCCCCAUGAGUCUGUUGAAGUCAUCAAAGUGAGGAAUGCCCAAAAGAUUCUGUCUGAAAGAGGCUACCGUGUGAAACUGGAUGAGCAGAAAUAUACAACAC